rnacentral:rRNA from 1 species
UACGAAGGGGGCUAGCGUUGUUCGGAUUCACUGGGCGUAAAGCGUGCGUAGGCGGUCAUUCAAGUCUGGUGUUAAAGCUAGAGGCUCAACCUCUGUGAUGCACUGGAAACUGGAUGACUUUGAGUGCGGUAGGGGAAGGUGGAAUUCCGAGUGUAGCGGUGAAAUGCGUAGAUAUUCGGAAGAACACCGGUGGCGAAGGCGACCUUCUGGGCCGCAACUGACGCUGAGGCACGAAAGCGUGGGAGCAACGGG